rnacentral:rRNA from 1 species
GACGAACGCUGGCGGCGUGCUUAACACAUGCAAGUCGAACGGAAAGGCCCUGCUUUUGUGGGGUGCUCGAGUGGCGAACGGGUGAGUAACACGUGAGUAACCUGCCCUUGACUUUGGGAUAACUUCAGGAAACUGGGGCUAAUACCGGAUAGGAGCUCCUGCUGCAUGGUGGGGGUUGGAAAGUUUCGGCGGUUGGGGAUGGACUCGCGGCUUAUCAGCUUGUUGGUGGGGUAGUGGCUUACCAAGGCUUUGACGGGUAGCCGGCCUGGGAGGGUGACCGGCCACAAUGGGACUGAGGUACGGACCAGACUCCUACGGGAGGCAGCAGUGGGGAAUAUUGCACAAUGGGCGGAAGCCUGAUGCAGCAACGCCGCGUGCGGGAUGACGGCCUUCGGGUUGUAAACCGCUUUCGCCUGUGACGAAGCGUGAGUGACGGUAAUGGGUAAAGAAGCACCGGCUAACUACGUG